UGGGGAAUAUUGCACAAUGGGCGAAAGCCUGAUGCAGCAACGCCGCGUGAGUGAUGAAGGUCUUCGGAUUGUAAAGCUCUGUCUUUUGGGACGAUAAUGACGGUACCAAAGGAGGAAGCCACGGCUAACUACGUGCCAGCAGCCGCGGUAAUACGUAGGUGGCGAGCGUUGUCCGGAUUUACUGGGCGUAAAGGGUGCGUAGGCGGAUGUUUAAGUGAGAUGUGAAAUACCCGGGCUUAACUUGGGUGCUGCAUUUCAAACUGGAUAUCUAGAGUGCAGGAGAGGAGAAUGGAAUUCCUAGUGUAGCGGUGAAAUGCGUAGAGAUUAGGAAGAACACCAGUGGCGAAGGCGAUUCUCUGGACUGUAACUGACGCUGAGGCACGAAAGCGUGGGUAGCAAACAGGAUUAGAUACCCUGGUAGUCCACGCCGUAAAACGAUGAGUACUAGGUGUAGGAGGUAUCGACCCCUUCUGUGCCGCAGUAAACACAUUAAGUACUCCGCCUGGGAAGUACGAUCGCAAGAUUAAGACUCUAAGUGAAUUGA
rnacentral:rRNA from 1 species